rnacentral:misc_RNA from 1 species
CGCCUUUCGCCUUGAUAACACUAGUUCCAACAUUAAACAGAAAUGAUGGAGAGGGGGUGGUGGAGGGGGCAAAUGUGGAAAAAAUAUUGGAAAACCUCUAUUUAUAUCCCAUGAAGGUGCAGCUAUAGAUCUCCAUUUAAGUACUACACUUUAGGCACAACAGAGUUGUUGCCCACAUCAACAUUCUUUUCUUACCCCAUGAAGAUCUUGCCACAAGGACAACGAAUCCACAAAUUGAUUCACCAUUGCAUCAUUUCAGUUCCAUAUUGAUUCUCUUAGUCAGGCAGUACACUUUGGGAAUCCUUUGAUAGAAGGUAUCCAUGCAAAGAACCACUUUGGGAGAAGUCCUUAAAAAAAUAUCUUCACCAGAACCUAGCCCCUCAGCAAUUUAGCGGUACAAUUUAACCUUAAGCUUUUUACUCCUAGAGGAUAGAUUGAUAUCAAAAUCUCCAACCACUCUUGCUCUAUAAACCAAUCCCAAAAAUUUCAGCACAGAGGCCACUUCCCAGUCAUUGACAGACAUCAAAAACUGGCUUCUACAGUAUCACCACACCACACCAGCUCAUACCAGCUACUGAAGCAUUGUUCUCUAUAAUACAAGUAACAUGCCUCCGAGCCACAUGUUGAAUCAAGCAACAUUCCCUAAGAGAACUAUCUUCCAACCCGAUACCAUAGAAGACAUCUCCAACAAAAUGGUCCCAGCAAUCUCCUACACCUUUUCCCAAACCCAAUCUAUAUGAAUUAUUGGCUACUUUCACCACAGCAAUGCAAGUUUAGACACCCGCAAAGAAAAUUUAAAUGAAAAAAAAAAGGCAAAGAUAACAACUUACAUAAGAUUAAUAAAAUUAGAAAGCGAAAACAAAAGACGUGCAAUUGUCUAGAAUAAUUACAUCACAAAUACUAAUACUUAAUAUAUUUUCCAAUUAAGUACCAUAACUAUUUUACUUUUCAAUAAAGUUCUUAUACUUUCUAAAACCUAAACCAUUAGAACUAAGCAAAUGAGUUAUAAGAAUUUUUUUUUUUUUUUAAUUAAUGUCAUCCGGAACAGCAAUUUUGACAAAUAAGCUCUCCCAUUUGGCAAAGAUAUUAAAUUUUCCAUGAUACAAUGAAAAUAAAAGAGAAUGUGAAUGAAUGGUUUUUUUGUUUUCCUCUUUUUCUUUUUCAGGAGGUUGUUUGCUCAUGAGGUGCUCUAUCUCCCAAGUCCCACCUCCCUACAAAUACUUGUUCCUUGAUUAAGAUGUCACCAAAAGACAAAAAGAAAUUCCAUUUGCAAAAUAAGAAAGGGUGGCAAUGGAAGAUUCUAGGCUAAUGUAGGAAUAGUGAUUUCCUUCUAUAAGCGUAUAACAAGGAAAUUUUAAAACAAUUUCAGAGCUGACAGUUUGACCACCGAAUUGGAACUGGCCCCAUGACCAAUCCAAUUUAAGUGUUCUUAUUGACAAAUAUUAAAUGAUCUGGCAAAACCAGGUGAAAAAGCAAACCUGCAGAGAACAGUUGAAACUUGGAUUUUAUAGAACUCCAUAUUUUAGCAAAAGUGUUAGAACUGGUUUAGAACUUUACAUGCUGUUAGAAUUGGUUUCCGUUUACAUUUGACAAAAUCUAGUGAACUGGCAGACUCAUAAAGAACUGUUCAAACUCAAUCUUUGCUAAAACUAAAACAUUUUAGCAAAGAAAAUAAGCCUGCAGUGACUUUCUGUCCGCUUUCUCUCACUCCGUCACUAUCUGUAAUCUUGAAACUCUCACUCCAUCCCUCUCUGUUCAUAAUCCUAAUAUGUGAAGACACUAUGCAACAUCAAUAUGUGAAGUUUCUGGAUUGAUGGUCCAAUCCACAUUCAGACCAGAAAGCAAAUUCACUGGCAUUGGGAAUAAUGGUAUUUGUGGUGAUUUGGAAUUGAGAAUCCAAACCCCAAUUCAAUUGCAAGAAACUACCUAGGUUCAACCAUUUUCAGUCCAGGAAGAAAAUGGACAGCUCAGAUUUUGUGGAAAACAAGGUAGGUUAAAAGUUCAAUUUCAGGAUUAUUAGGGGAAUGGAGAGGUUUUUCUUUCCCCCACUUUAAAUUUCAAAUUGAUGAUAUAGAGAAGCAAAAU